rnacentral:rRNA from 1 species
CGCGGGAUUAGAGUUUGAUCCUGGCUCAGGACGAACGCUGGCGGCGUGCUUAACACAUGCAAGUCGAGCGGAAAGGCCCUUCGGGGUACUCGAGCGGCGAACGGGUGAGUAACACGUGAGUAAUCUGCCUUCAGCUCUGGGAUAGCUCCGGGAAACCGGGAUUAAUACCGGAUAUGACCACUUCGGACAUCUGUUGUGGUGGAAAGUUUUUCGGCUGGAGAUGAGCUCGCGGCCUAUCAGCUUGUUGGUGGGGUAAAGGCCUACCAAGGCGACGACGGGUAGCCGGCCUGAGAGGGCGACCGGCCACACUGGGACUGAGACACGGCCCAGACUCCUACGGGAGGCAGCAGUGGGGAAUAUUGCGCAAUGGGCGGAAGCCUGACGCAGCGACGCCGCGUGGGGGAUGAAGGCCUUCGGGUUGUAAACCCCUUUCAGCAGGGACGAAGCGCAAGUGACGGUACCUGCAGAAGAAGCGCCGGCUAACUACGUGCCAGCAGCCGCGGUAACACGUAGGGCGCAAGCGUUGUCCGGAAUUAUUGGGCGUAAAGAGCUCGUAGGUGGUCUGUUGCGUCCGCUGUGAAAACUCAGGGCUUAACCCUGAGCCUGCAGUGGAUACGGGCAGACUAGAGGUAGGUAGGGGAGAAUGGAAUUCCUGGUGUAGCGGUGAAAUGCGCGGAUAUCAGGAGGAACACCGGUGGCGAAGGCGGUUCUCUGGGCCUUACCUGACACUGAGGAGCAAAAGCGUGGGGAGCGAACAGGAUUAGAUACCCUGGUAGUCCACGCCGUAAACGUUGGGCGCUAGGUGUGGGAUCCUUCCACGGAUUCCGUGCCGCAGCUAACGCAUUAAGC